rnacentral:rRNA from 1 species
GAUGAACGCUGGCGGCGUGCCUAAUACAUGCAAGUCGAGCGAACGGACGAGAAUCUUGCUUCUCUGAUGUUAGCGGCGGACGGGUGAGUAACACGUGUAUAACCUACCUAUAAGACUGGGAUAACUUCGGGAAACCGGAUCUAAUACCGGAUAAUAGUUUGAACCGCAUGGUUCAAAAGUGAAAGACGGUCUUGCUGUCACUAAUAGAUGGAUCCGCGCUGCAUUAGCUAGUUGGUAAGGUAACGGCUUACCAAGGCAACGAUGCAUAGCUGACCUGAGAGGAUGAUCAGCCACACUGGAACUGAGACACGGUCCAGACUCCUACGGGAGGCAGCAGUAGGGAAUAUUGCACAAUGGGCGAAAGCCUGACGCAGCAACGCCGCGUGAGUGAAGAAGGUCUUCGGAUUGUAAAGCUCUGUUAUUAGGGAAGAACAGAUGUGUAAGUAACUGUGCACAUCUUGACGGUACCUAAUGAGAAAGCACCGGCUAACUACGUG